CGGGUGGCUGCAGCAGUGAGGAAUAUUGCACAAUGGGGGGAACCCUGAUGCAGCAACGCCGCGUGGAGGAUGACGCAUUUCGGUGUGUAAACUCCUUUUAUAUGUCAAGAAAAUGACGGUAGCAUAUGAAUAAGCACCGGCUAACUCCGUGCCAGCAGCCGCGCUAAUACGGAGGGUGCAAGCGUUACUCGGAGUCACUGGGCGUAAAGGACGCGUAGGCGGGUUGGAAAGUCAGGUGUGAAAUCCUACAGCUUAACUGUAGAACUGCACUUGAAACUUCUAAUCUAGAGUAUGGGAGGGGGAGAUGGAAUUAGUGGUGUAGGGGUAAAAUCCGUAGAUAUCACUAGGAAUACCUAAAGCGAAGGCGAUCUCCUGGAACAUUACUGACGCUAAGGCGUGAAAGCGUGGGGAGCAAACAGGAUUAGAUACCCUUGUAGUC
rnacentral:rRNA from 1 species